UAAUGGUGGGACCCAGUGACUAUGGGGUGAUGCCUUUUAUAAGAGGCAGAGUCAGUAAAGAUCUUUUCUUUUUGUAGCACACAGGGAAGAGGCCACAGAGGCCACAGAAGAAAGGAAGCUGUCUGAAUGCCAGGAAGAGAAGACUCAUACAAAUACAUCCUGACUAAUAUGGGCUUACAGCCAUUCCAGAUUCUCUCCACGAGGCUGGUUUUCAUCUUCCUAUAGUGUUACAAGCAUGAUGUCGCUCUCAAUGACUCCUUUGUAGAAAGAGCACAGAGAAGCCAGUGAGAAGCACAUCAAGUUGCUAAAACAGUUCAAACUAUUUUACUGACAUCAGCUCAGCAUGAAAAAAUGAAGUCUGUGAGACAGAGACUGUCCUAGUGGACUAAAGGAAAAUACUACAAUAGCCACAAGAUUGAAAUGAAGCCUCGGCUAAACAGCUCAAGCAGGUGCAUUCAAUGCUGCUUUUUAUAUAAAAUUCGCAUCUUCUCUUUCAUUUGAGGAAAUCCAGCAUAGAGUUGGCUUUCCAGUUACAAAGGGAGACUUGUUUUGCCACAUUGUAAACACUGAGGAUGAGAUUCCACUCUGAUCAUGGUGUGAAUAUAAACCAGGAGGAUGCUGACUAGGUGGCCAGGUCCCCAGACAAUCCUCACACUCCGACCACAAGCUUCAGUGGCCCUGCUUGGUAGAGCACAGCAUUCAAUACUGAAAGUAAAUAUAAAGCCAAAAAGAUCACAGC
rnacentral:lncRNA from 1 species